AUUUCAUGAUGCAUUUUAUCAAAAGAAAUAACAUAAGUAUAUAUUAAAAUGUUUUGUUUUCUAAUACAAUUUAUAUCAGGAUUAGAAAGACGUGGCUGGGCAAGCCAUGCAAUGCUAGAGUAAACUAAUGCCAUAACUAUCUUUUCUCCUUACAAAAUCAAUGUAAUUGCAAUAUUUCCAUCCCCCGAAUGCAAGCUUUUCCAUAUUCCAAGCUUGCCUGCUGCACUGGUGGCUUCAUGUGCCUGUCAAGUCAUGAAAAUUAUGAAAAUAAAUCUAGGAAUUAUUGGAUUGUUGGACUUCAAAUCAGUUGGGGUUGAGGCAUAAAAAGUAAUUAAGUAAGGAGCUGUUUUAGGGAUGGUAACUGAAAUCGUAUUAGUAAUAAGUUACUGCAAAAAGUUAUAUUAUAACUAGUUACUGCCCAACACUGGUUAUCAAUAGUAACAGGACACUUUUGUGUGUCAGUAUUUGUCUGUGAUGUGUCCAGACUCUUGCUUGUAUACACGUUCAUUUUUACAAUUCAUGUUAAAGAGACAUCCACACGCUCAUUACGUGUUUGUGCAUUUUGGGGAAGGAGCAAUGAAGGCGUCAAUUAAUUCAUUCUGUUCAUUCAAGACUAUAUUCAGUGUUUCUCGGGAAUCGCUUAGUGCACCUGUAAUUGUUUGAGAACAGCUUAGGUACUGCGAAAUGAUCAGGUGUCACCUUUAUAGAUUGAUUUGGAUUUUUCAUCUGUAAAAUAAAUAGCUAAAAAUAAAAACAGCAAAUGGCAAAGACUUUCAGAGUACAGUGUGCUUAUUCUGAGCAAAACUUGUAAUAGACAAAUUGUAAUACAAAUAAUAUUAUCGGGUAGAAUAGAACUUUAAAACUGACUUUAACACCAGAAAUACAUUCUGAAUAAGAUUUCAGAGAUUUAUUGUAUAACAAUUUUCAGUUCAGGUAAUUGUAGCUUUUCACAUUACAUAUGUAUGAAAAGCCAGUCCAAAAGAUGAAUAGGUAUAGGACGAGAGAGUUAAUAGACUCAGUGCAAUCCAGCCACGCAGUUUGGUAAUGUUCACCAAUUAGUAUAUACAAGUACAAGUGUGGAAAUUUACUCAAAGCAAUUUGAACUUAAUCUCUUUCCAAAAAUUGUUCAUGUGUUUGUUGCUGUGACAGAUGAUGUGCAGUCAGUAUCAGUGAUGGAGGGAGAUUCUGUCACUCUACAGACUGGUGUUACUAAAGUACAGGGAGAUGAUAAGAUACUGUGGAAGUUUGGAGAUCAAGGCACCCUCAUCGCUCGCUUAACCUGUUAACAGUCGCCCCCGCUAGUUGAGCUCAAACCCAAACCUGACCUACACAAACUAAAACAGUCACAGUUCAUCAACCCUCUGGGCUACAGGCAAAACUGAGGGCUCUUUAGAAAGAUGAUAGUUAAGAGUUUGUUGCUCAAGUAUCCAAAAUUAUUAUUGCAAUGUAGACAUAAAUUAAGAGAAGCUUAAAUAUUUUGACAAGUAAUAGUUAAUUUAUUUACAUGAAAGAUAUUUAGGAGUAAAUCAAUGAAAAUGUGUCAGAGCAACUUAAAAAGCAAUGAAGUCAAAGCCACAAUUCUGACCAAGUUAUAAAUCAAAUUAGAAGAUGGAGCCACUGAAAAUUAGGUUCAUCUAAGCUUUUCUUCUUGAAGAAUGCAACUUUUAAGAAGUGCACUUAAUACAAGUAUUUUAAGCUCACAUUCAGUUCAGGCUCAAAUUCUCACAUGGAACACCCACUUUUUACCAUCGAAUCAAUUCCGAUGUAUAAAAUCAGGUCGUGUCCCAUUUUUUUUCCCUCAUUGGAUAUCCUAUUUCACUUAGCAAUGCACCAAAUUGGAUGAAAAUCAGUUGCAAUAAAAUGGGUUGCAAAAUUUGUUUCACAUUGACUUUAAGAAUUAAAAGUGAUGUGUUCUCAGCAUUAAAUUCCCUUUUUUAUCUCCCAGUUUAAUAAGCAGAGUCAUGUCUAAGUGAGACAUUCAUAGAUAUUACUGAAAAAUGGAAAAAAAAUGGCAUUGCGCUGUUCUCAAAACCUGUUUGAGCAUCACAAUCAGCUUGACAAAGCAACAUUGACUCAACCAUUGGAGUGAGAUUAGGGCAGGACUAAAUGUUUUAUUAACCAAUGGAAGAUGAGGGGAGUGCGUGAAAAACCUGUUCGAAUACAGUUACUAAAAUUUAAUAUAUUUUUUUAUGAUGCCAGUGGCCUAUGAAUUACACAAGGUAAAUUCAGUAAGAAUAAAAACAUUUUAUUAAAGACAAGAUUCUCAAUGACAAAUGCUAUGCUUAAAAAUCUGCAUAUGGCUAACUGAAGAAUCUAAACAAUCCAUAUAAUUCUCUGUAAUCAUUUGUUGGCUGCAUUUUGCACCCAUCAAAAAUUGAACAAGCGUUACAUUGACUGACUGUGCACAGUGAAGAUUGGGUUGGGCAUUUUUGGAGGUUACACUGUUAGAGUGUUUUGAAUCUCUGACCAAUCAGUGCUGCAGAAAAAACGCUGAGGGCAGGGUUAUUCUGUUCGUAAGACUCGAACAAAUAUGAUAACAUAGGGUUCUAUUACUGAAACAACCUUUAAUGUGCAAAAUUUAAUGUACAAUAAAAAAGAAAUGUAAUUCUCCCUCGAGAAAUAUUACUUAAUCAAAACAAAUGUCACAUCACUAUUAGUCUUAAAUUUCAAAAUUUUAAACUAAAACUCUAACUGAUUUUUGGUUUCGGAUAGUUAUCAUGAAUACUACACCGAUGUUUGCAUGAUUGAAUUUAUCUGUCAUCGUCACUGGACAAAAACAGUUCAGAACUCCUCAUUUCAAUGUUGCGUGUAUUUAUACGAACUCCUAAUACAAAUGAAAACGAUAUUAUUGUUAUAAUAUCACGAUCAUAGAUUUAGAAUCCUGAGCCUUUAAACUGUCAAAUGACAUAUUGUAAGUCUAUAUUAAUUAAGACUUUGAUAGUAAAAUCAUUCAGUAAAUGUAAACUUACAAUCCUCGGAACCGUCGAUGGUCUCGAGCAAGUUAAUGGAUUAAAUGGCACUACUGAUGCUAGAUGGGAAAACAUGAUCAAACUGAAUGAUCAUACUGGAGACCUCAUCAUCAGAAACAUCCAAACUGAACACACUGGAGACUAUGAUCUGGAGAUCAACAACAGCAGCGUGAUCUUACACAGGAAAUUCCAUAUUGCAGUUAGUGAGCUCCCCCCGAGUUCACAGUGGCAGACAACUGGUCCAGUGUUGGCAGUCAUUGUUGUGAUCUUAGUCGUGAUCGGAAUCGGAAUCUGUAUUGGGAUCAAGAUGGGUUGGUUUGAAGUAUGUUGGCCAUGCAAAAAGAGUGGUGAAACAAAUACAGAGUGUGAUACGAUGCAGCAAUUGAACAGAGAUGACCAAUAGCAGUAGUUCAUAGUCAGUAC